UCUGGAGAACCCUGAGUGAACUGUGGACUUUAGUUAAUGAUCUGUCAGCACUGGCUCCCGAACUGUGGUAAAUGCAUCACUAAGACAACAGGCUAACAGCUGGGGCUGGGUGGGCUCAGGGGAAGACUUAGGGUACCCAAGACCCUGGGCUUUGAUUCCUGGGACCACUUCAAAGAGGAGAAAGAAAAGGACGUGGAGGAUCUUUGCUCUGAUGAGGAAAUGUGGAGCAGAGGAGCUUGCGGGCCCCGGGCUGCAGGUCAGAGGGUGCUGGGAGCUGGCCCUGCAUAGCUGCAUAGCUGGGCCAGUGCUGCUGCUGUGCUGCUGCCUGCUAGAGCUGAGGUCUAGCGAGCUGUUCCUCUCUCCUGCUGUCCCAGAUGUGGGUGCUUCCUUCCGCUCCUCCUCCCAGACUGCACCUCAGGUUUACCCUUAACCUGACAUGGUUCGGAGCUAGCUUCUCCAUAGCCGCCACCACGUGGGUCCUACUUGCUGCUGUGGGGGAACAGAUCAGCCCUGCUCACCUGACCAUUUCUGGUUCUGGCGUCUUCUGUUCCCUCUCAAACCUACAGUGUGGCAGAAAGGAAAGGUGGACACUCUCUUGGUGGGGUACCCUUCCUGGUGCGCUCGCUUGGCUGGAGGAUGAAGUGUGAACACAGUCUUGUGGCUUUCCAGAGUGUUUCCUGGCCCCGCCUCUGUCUUCUCAGCCACAGGGCCUACAACGUCCCAUUCCCAGCUGUGGCUUCCCUCCCUCUAGGCAGGCCCAGGAAGUCAGAGCCAUUCUGCUGAGGUGUGGGAGAUGUGACCUCCCCACGCUGCCCUGCCGCCCCGCUGUAGGGGGUUAGCCUCCCCAGCAGCCAUCCCCCUUAUGUAAUCUGCACAUCACACAGGCGUGACUCCAGGUGCCUGUGGGAGGUAGCGCGGGGGUGAGCUCAGGGGCGCAAACAAGCCUCCAAGUUUCCUUGGGUGCCUCUCCUCUUGUUACAUUUCAGCGUCAUCCUGCGUCUGCCAGCUCGGUCACCCACUUGCCUAUUAGAAUAUAUUAACUGACAAUGCAGACUUAAAUAACUUGGGCAGGUGACAGGCUGCAGUGGGGGGGGGCCCUUUGCACCGAAUCCUUCUGCAGUGGGCCAAGUGAAUUCAGAGGACAAUGGGUGGACUGAGGCAGGACAAUGGGCAGGGAGGGGCGGGGUGCGGCCUGCACAACACCAAACUUAAGUUCUGAGAUCCGGUGCCCUUGGCAACAAGGAAAGCCCACCCCAUGGCAGGCACACCCAUGCCUCUGUACACACCCAGCUCGUAGGGUUGUGCCUUAAGUGAAUAAGAGAACUGAACAGAGGUAUCUGUCAUCAGAGCAUGACCGACGGUCUGUGGUGACAGCUCUGAUGGCAGCAGCAGCCUAGGCACAGGCAGUCCCGCCUGUGCCCAUUCGCUCCGCAGAGUGCCCUCCAUAGGCCAAAGUGGUCACUCAGCUUCCUGCUCACUGCGGGUGCUUUCCUGUCCCUUUCCUCUCUUAUUGCUCUGCCUCUUCAAUUAAGUUGCCUUAAAGGUGUCUAAAGGCGUUUUCAGGUUGCGGCAGAGGAAAUAGUUUUCCAGACUCUGGAGUCAAAAGACACCCAGCCCUGAGCCCUGGUGUGUUCCACCGGGUCCUUCCCCACCACACCCCCAUCUCCAGCUGGUCCUGCCAGAGUGAGAAGCCCAGACAUGUACAUACUGCUCCACAUGCUCACAGAUGGCUUCCCUGCUCGGGGCUGACUGCUGCUAAUUUAGGCUGCUGGAGGCUCCGUGUGCGCUCUCUCUCUUUUUAAUUCCGUGUUUAUUUAAAGCCAGAUUUUGAAAUCUUGUCUUCAACUCUGAAAUCUGAAAUCGUCUUGCUGCGAAUCUUACCCCCUCCUCCCGCAUUCCCUUCCCCCAAGCAUGGCGCAAAGUUUAGGGAAGCUUGAACGACUGGCUAGGGUCUCCUUACAGCAGUCCUGUUGUGUCAGCCCAGAGCACAGGAGGUCCCCGGGACAUGCCUGGUGUUUCCAUGUAAACAGGGGAAGCUGUGUGGAGCUUCCUGGUGCUGCAGAAGGGGCAGACCGGGACAGGACUGGCUCAUCGCGUCCACAGUCCUACAACGGGACCUAGUGUGGCCCAGGUAUCUAGGACCCCAGUGCCAAUCCCCCAACUGGCUCUUGGGUUUUCAGAGCUCCUCUUAACCCAUAAAAGCCACAUACAGUGUCUUCCUGCUCUCUGGGGAAUCAAGUCCACCUAGAAGGGACUUCCUGGCUAGGGCUUGCUGGUGUGUUGACACAACACUGGGCUGCCCUCAGGCAGACAGUGCCUGUGUCAGGGCACACACAGUGGGACUCUGUCCCCUCACGGUGGGACCCAGAAGACUCCCUGGCAUGGUGAGUGCUCCAGAGGCACCAGGGCUGCACCCCAUUGCACAACUACCAUCUGCCCUUCUGCCCUUCCACAGCUCCCCUGGAGUGUGGGGAAGGGCUUUGGUGAGGAAUGAUUUUGAGGGAACUGGUCAAGAGCUGAGGUAGAGCCAGUUCCAGGAGGAAUGCCUGCACCUGGAAGGAAGCAGCAGGACUGCCUAAGGCACUGGCCAGAUUCCCACACCAGCCUCUGCCUCUUCCCCACCAGGCAGAGAAAAGGAAGGGUGCCGCUUCCACCCAGAGCCACCUGCAAGGCCUGCCAGGCAGGGCCUUUCUAACAUGGAGAGCGUGAAGAAGAGCCGGGACAGUGAGCCUGGCACGUCUGGUCAGACAGGAAGAUGACUGUGAGGAAAACUGGUGGAGUGCUAAGUUGGGAAUGUCAUUUCUCCAGCAGGCUCACUUCUCUCAAGGUUGAGAGACAGAGAUGUUUGUAGAGUAGUGUAGGAAACUAUCUGUCCCCCACCCUAGCCCCCGUCCCUGCCUGGAAACCAUGACUCUAAAAGAAUAUGCGAGACAUUUCACCCCCUAUCCAACCAAAGGUCGGCUGUACAACCUUUCCAAAUGUCACUCCAACCACUGCUGGCAGAACCCCGGAGAUGCCAAGCACCUCGGUUCUGCUGUCGACUCUCACCCCAAGCUGCAGGGGGGUUUUGUUUGUUUUGUUUUUUGUCUUUUUUGUUUUUCUGCAGGAGCUAACGAAAUUCUUUGUGCACAGCCUGAGGAGUUGGCUUUCUGAGCCUUGGAGCUGCUGGUGUGGGACUCUGGUGUUUUUCCUGCCUUCCUGGGCUCCAAGACAUCCUAAGGAGAAAACCCCAUGCUCAGACACUUAGGCAGGACAGUUCCAGGACACUGGGAUUAAGCGGUGGUACCCGGCAGUUUCCUCAGACAGGUCGGGGCACUGCAUCCACUGCUGCUGUUAACCCGGGAGGUCCAGCGCCUGGCUCCUGGGGGUCCAGCUUGGCUGCCUUUUCCUAGGCCCCCCUCAGGCCUUGGCUCUUACAAUAGACUGCCACUUCUGGGACCCUUGCCUGAGUCUGGCUUCAUCUUUCUGAGGGUUCCCUUCACUGCCCCCUGGUGGCACAUCCAAGAAAGAAGCCCUGCCACUGGACAGGUAGCAACUAUGCCUGCUGUACCUGGCAAGAACGGGCUUGUUGAAGAGCCACAGAAGCUAACCCUGCUCUGCUCUGCGCUGCUCUGCUCUGAGGACCAGCACCUUCAUACCCCACUACCACCCUCCCUCCGUAGCCCUUGCUAACCUGGGGUUGCUGCUCUCACCACAUCCUGCACAGAGCCUCCCACACGUCAUUGUCCCUGUAAGCAAGGGAUCUUAGGCUGUCCUGCCUUGGGGGACUCCCACACUAGUGAGGUCAGAGGGCAGCUUGCCCAAGUUCAUUCCCUCCUACCAUUGGAGUCCCAGUCAGACUCAAGGCCUCCCACCACUGGCCCAGCAGAAAGUUGUGUGUGUGUUUGAGACCUGGUCUCUGUGUAGCCCUGGCUAUCCUGGAACUUGCUAUGUAGACCAGGCUGGCUUCGAAUUCAGAGAUCCACCCAUCCCUGUCUCCAGUGCUGGAAUGAAAAAUGAGCACCACCAUGCCCAGUAGAGUCUCCGCUCUCAUCUUGUCAAAUGUCCCUGAGAUCUCGAGCUGAAAUGAGGACAGUAUAAACUAAUUCUAAGCACUUGUCACAAAAGCAAGGGUGGUGGCAGUCAGAGGCUGAGUAACAGGGCGUGGGGCUGGCAGCAGGGUGCAGGGCCAGCAUCCUCGAGAAGUGCCUUUCCUGCAGGGUUGUGGCUCAGGUAGUCAUUCCCAAGAACUCAUUGGCUCUAGGCUUUGAGCCCCUGGCAGGCACUUAGAGGGGAGGAAAUGCCUGUGGCUAGCUCAGGCUGGGCCAAGGGAGUUUCCACCAUCCCUCCCAGUUCCAGCAGCAGUGAGAUCCCAGGGCCUCUGGCCACAUUGGGCCACAACAGCAGCUUCAUUCCUAGGCGACGGUCUGAGUCACCAUCUGUGGGCUCUGGCUCCUCACCAGCUGGGCUUGCAGCCUUAAGUUUGCCACAGUUUGGCCUCAGCUGAGUCUCCAUCACCACUUCGGCCAUUUUUCUCUGCUGUUUCCUUUCUUUAAGCAGAAAUGUGAUGCAAAUGGGUUCCAGGUCUGUGCCUGCUGUCACCCGCACACACUUCCAGGGCUGAUGUCAUGGGUUAGAUUCUGGUGGUGCCAGGUCAGAGGCCCCCCACACACUAUCACUUGUUGGCCACUGCAGGGCUUUGCAAAUAAAGUUUUGGUUUUUUACUGUC